AGAGUUUGAUCAUGGCUCAGGAUGAACGCUGGCGGCGUGCCUAAUACAUGCAAGUCGAGCGAACCACUUCGGGUGGUGAGCGGCGAACGGGUGAGUAACACGUAGGUGAUCUGCCCAUCAGACGGGGACAACGAUUGGAAACGAUCGCUAAUACCGGAUAGGACGAAAGUUUAAAGGUGCUUCUGGCACCGCUGAUGGAUGAGCCUGCGGCGCAUUAGCUAGUUGGUAGGGUAAAGGCCUACCAAGGCGACGAUGCGUAGCCGACCUGAGAGGGUGAACGGCCACACUGGGACUGAGACACGGCCCAGACUCCUACGGGAGGCAGCAGUAGGGAAUCUUCGGCAAUGGGCGAAAGCCUGACCGAGCAACGCCGCGUGAAUGAUGAAGGCCUUCGGGUUGUAAAAUUCUGUUAUAAGGGAAGAACGACUUUAGUAGGAAAUGGCUAGAGUGUGACGGUACCUUAUGAGAAAGCCACGGCUAACUACGUG
rnacentral:rRNA from 1 species